ACAAUCCCUAUCACGGUCAUAGACUGAACCCCACAAGAAAAUAUUUGGUCUUUAAUUAUUGGUGUAAGAAAACAAACAAAAAUUCAGACUAUGAAUUCUUCAUUUUACUUUGAAGCAAAGAUAAAAUGACGAAGCAUCAUGUACACAAAUAAAUAAAGAACUAUCAAGGCAAUAACAUCUGUCAUUGGUCACAAUGAAAGUAAUGCGCGUGUAUGCUUAUAUGGGAAUCCCAUUGCAAUCAAGUAAUAUCUCAUCUGCACUUGCAACAUUCAGGAUGCUUGAGGAGCCCAUUUACAAUCUUCCCGAUACAAUCUCAACGACUGUGAUUAGACUAAAGGAUCCCUGAAUAGAAUAUCCUAAUCAUUUCUCAACAUGAUGACCUGCCAGCUGAUGUCAUUCAGAAGCUUCCUAAAGGAAGUACUGUCAUAGCAGUUGAUCAGAAGUCCUUCCACCAGUUCCUUGGUUCUCUUGCUCUAUCUUGGCACAUUCGGUACUCUUUUUGUUCUUCAUUCCGGACUUUUCACCUAAUCAAAUUCCCUUGUAUUCCAGGAAUUUUUCUUGAAGCUUUUGAGUGAAAACAUUUAUAUAUGCUACUCAUCAAAUAGAACUUUAAUUUUACCAAAUGCGAAUCUUAUAUAUCCUGGUGAGUGAUUCAUAUAGUUUGAAACAGUAACUCAUCUUUCCUAGGAAAAUAAGGUAUCCCCUAUCUCUACAUUCCUUUUAAUGGUAACGAGUUAGCAGUUGAAAAAUGGCAUUCAUGCUAUCAGAUGAAUCGAUCCUGGCAAUUGCUUUCUUAAUAUUUGCUGUCAGAGAAGAUGGAGAGAAUCGGAUUGUGGGGCAGAAGCAACUACUAGUCUGUGCAAACGGAUAGCCAGCAAAAAAGACAAUGUUCACCAUUCAGCGGGAGGUAAAAAAUUCCCCUCCACCUUUUUGAUGAACCAUUAAUUUCUCGAAGGUGUUUAACAAUGAAUGAUUCUUUAUUUUAUUUGAAAGCAAAGAUGCUAUCAAGUACACAAAUAGUCACAUAUUGAAAGUAAUGCAAGUAUUCUCCAUCUUUCCCUCA